rnacentral:rRNA from 1 species
CUCCCUACGGGGCGCAGCAGGCGCGAAAACUUUACAAUGCGGGAAACCGUGAUAAGGGGACACCGAGUGCCAGCAUCAUAUGCUGGCUGUCCAGGUGUGUAAAAUACACCUGUUAGCAAGGGCCGGGCAAGACCGGUGCCAGCCGCCGCGGUAACACCGGCGGCCCGAGUGGUGAUCGUGAUUAUUGGGUCUAAAGGGUCCGUAGCCGGUUUGGUCAGUCCUCCGGGAAAUCUGAUAGCUCAACUAUUAGGCUUUCGGGGGAUACUGCCAGACUUGGAACCGGGAGAGGUAAGAGGUACUACAGGGGUAGGAGUGAAAUCCUGUAAUCCA